GCCAGGGUGGCGUAGUGGUUUGAGUGUUGGACUUGGACCUUAGAGACCUAGGUUUGAAUCCUGGCUCAGACA